rnacentral:lncRNA from 1 species
GGACAUAUUUAGUCAAAGAAGUAGAAAGCAGAGCAAUAAACAGACGCACAUUCCCAUAUUUAAAUCAAUACAUUAUUUUUAUACAUGCAUGCAGAAAUAUAUAUAUGUAUUGAAGUCAGCUGCUGGCAUGGCAUGGCCCAACUGAUCUAUCCCAUGUAGAGACACUUGGAUUUUUGCUCCUCUGGAUUGACAACACGUGCAGCUUUCCAUAUUUAAAGCUAUCUUGACCACCAAAUUAAUCCAUUGAUCUUGAACGAACGAAACUGCUAUGAAAACAAUUGAUCACUCAUUGCUUUUCCC